GGGGGAUAACUACUGGAAACGGUAGCUAAUACCGCAUAACGUCGCAAGACCAAAGAGGGGGACCUUCGGGCCUCUUGCCAUCGGAUGUGCCCAGAUGGGAUUAGCUUGUAGGUGAGGUAACGGCUCACCUAGGCGACGAUCCCUAGCUGGUCUGAGAGGAUGACCAGCCACACUGGAACUGAGACACGGUCCAGACUCCUACGGGAGGCAGCAGUGGGGAAUAUUGCACAAUGGGCGCAAGCCUGAUGCAGCCAUGCCGCGUGUAUGAAGAAGGCCUUCGGGUUGUAAAGUACUUUCAGCGGGGAGGAAGGGAGUGAGGUUAAUAACCUCAUUCAUUGACGUUGCCCGCAGAAGAAGCACCGGCUAACUCCGUGCCAGCAGCCGCGGUAAUACGGAGGGUGCGAGCGUUAAUCGGAAUUACUGGGCGUAAAGCGCACGCAGGCGGUCUGUCAAGUCGGAUGUGAAAUCCCCGGGCUCAACCUGGGAACUGCAUUCGAAACUGGCAGGCUGGAGUCUUGUAGAGGGGGGUAGAAUUCCAGGUGUAGCGGUGAAAUGCGUAGAGAUCUGGAGGAAUACCGGUGGCGAAGGCGGCCCCCUGGACAAAGACUGACGCUCAGGUGCGAAAGCGUGGGGAGCAAACAGGAUUAGAUACCCUGGUAGUCCACGCUGUAAACGAUGUCGACUUGGAGGU
rnacentral:rRNA from 1 species